CGCAUCUGUUUGCCCUGAUGCUGUUAUCAGAGAAGAAAGCCCCACCGCACCACUUACAUUUGGUUCUUUGUCUGGCGCUUUAUUCUGCAAGUGUUUUCUUUUGCUCUGUGUCCUUGGGGUGCCUGCAGAUUCUGUUCCUGACGAGAGCCCUCUUCCUCACCUGGAGAUAAGCCUCUCUCUGUGCCCUCCCUUGGCAGAGAAAGAUGUCUUCUCUGCCCAAAAACCGAUGAGUUCUGCCGUGAAGGCCUCACCCUCAUGACCUCAUCUAGCCCUGACCACCUCCCCAAAGUCCCGUCUCUACCAUGACCCUGGGGGUUAGGGCUUCCACACACGGUUUUGGGGGGAGGAAACUGGUGUAGAGAAGUGAUUAAGGUAUUUGCUGCCUUUAUGUCCUGCUUUUUUGUAUUCUACCAUUUUCAGACCAUUCUUGAUGGUCAUCUCCAGCUGGUCACGCAGGUUGUUUGAGGCAUCUUGAAGGUAUCUUCACUGACUCAUCACAUAGGCACAGAGCUAAGGUUUAGAAGCCAGUGAGGUGGUUUUGUGCUUAGAAGCUCGCAGAGCACAGCUGUACUUUCUUAACUGGGAGGAAAAACAAGUCCAUGCAGAUGGUGUCGCUGGGAGUCAUUGUCUCUUUGGGCAUGGGACUCCGGGAAGAUGCAAAAUCAGGAUCUGGGCAAGAAGGAUGCUCGCCAAGAUUCCUUUCAAGGCUAAUGACGUACUUUAUGUGCUGCUGAAGUUGACAUUGCAGAUAAUGAAGUUUUGUCCUCUGAUGAAGUUAAUCUUCGUUGUGAGCAUAGUUAAUUUCCCUUCAGGUGUGGAGGUGAAAUUGGUCAAGAAAUUGAACAUGCGGGUCCUCCCCCAUCCUCUCUGACUUAGGAGCACUUGAUACUUAAAAGUCUCUAAUUGCUUACAAAGGAAGGAAGUAUGAUUUUUGUGAAAAGAGAACUCGACGUAAUUAGUGACUUUGAAUACCAGGUGAGCUGUGAUGUUUCAGUAUGGUUUUCAUUAGUGGUGGGAGGGAGAGAAUCUACAGUCACAACUCUGUGAUCUAAGUUCCAAAUUAGCCUUUAAUAAAAUUGUAAAUGGUAAGGGUGUAGGCCCA
rnacentral:lncRNA from 1 species